rnacentral:tRNA from 1 species
GCGCCGGUAAUUCAAUGGCAGAAUGUCAGCUUCCCAAGCUGAAUACGCGGGUCCGAUUCCCGUUCGGCGCU